UACGGGGGGGGCAAGCGUUGUUCGGAAUUACUGGGCGUAAAGGGCUCGUAGGCGGCCAACUAAGUCAGACGUGAAAUCCCUCGGCUUAACCGGGGAACUGCGUCUGAUACUGGAUGGCUUGAGUUUGGGAGAGGGAUGCGGAAUUCCAGGUGUAGCGGUGAAAUGCGUAGAUAUCGGAAGGAACAUCAGUGGCGAAAGCGACUUCCUGGACCAGUACCGACGUUCAGGCACGAAAGCGUGGGGAGCAAACAGG
rnacentral:rRNA from 1 species